rnacentral:lncRNA from 1 species
AUAUUUCUUUUUAACCCAAAAUACCCUGUAGCCACUAAAAAGCCGCCGGUUGGAACUUUACGCCUUCCAUGGGGACGUUCGCGGUUUACUAUCCCCGACGUCGGACCGUUGGUUGUAAAGCCCGGCAAAACCCAAACCCAAGGUCGAAGUGCUGCUCCUGGCACCCCACGCCUCGAUGCGUACAGUGGUCGGAGCUUCACUAUCCCCUCGACCUCCAUUGCACGCCGCACACCGCCGGUUGGAACUUUACGCCUUCCAUGGGGACGUUCGCGGUUUACUAUCCCCGACGUCGGACCGUUGGUUGUAAAGCCCGGCAAAACCCAAACCCAAGGUCGAAGUGCUGCUCCUGGCACCCCACGCCUCGAUGCGUACAGUGGUCGGAGCUUCACUAUCCCCUCGACCUCCAUUGCACGCCGCACAGUUAGCUCUCGGGCUCUGUGUGAUCCAAGCCGCUCCGCCGCCACUCACACUUGUCGGAGUAACACUUUCGCCCCACUAAACCCACACACAAACCUCCUAUCCCUCUAG